GACAGAGGGGGCAAGCGUUGCUCGGAAUCACUGGGCGUAAAGGGCGCGUAGGCGGGAUGGCAAGUCGGUCGUGAAAUCCUUCGGCUCAACCGAAGAACGUCGGCCGAUACUGCCGUUCUUGAGGGAUGCAGAGGAGAUUGGAAUUCCCGGUGUAGCGGUGAAAUGUGUAGAGAUCGGGAGGAACACCCGUGGCGAAGGCGGCUCUCUGGGACGGUACUGACGCUGAGACGCGAAAGCGUGGGGAGCGAACAGG
rnacentral:rRNA from 1 species